CGAGCAGGCGGCCAGGAAAUGCCCAGGAGUGUGUGUCACCUGCCUCAGACGACUUGUUGAUUCCCAGGAGCACCGCCUUUUCGGCCUGGGUCCCCGGGAGGAUUGUCUGGCUCACCUGUCUCCCAGGCGCGGCCCCGGGGAGCUCCUGACACGGCCCGGGACAGCUCGCCCUCCAACUCCGCGGCCAUGAGCAAGUUGGGCAAGUUUUUUAAAGGGGGUGGCUCCUCUAAGAGCAGCGCUGCUCCCAGUCCCCAGGAGGCCCUGGCCCGACUGCGGGAGACUGAGGAGAUGUUGAGCAAGAAACAAGAGUACCUGGAAAAUCGAAUCCAGAGGGAACUCGCCCUGGCCAAGAAGCACGGCACGCCGAACAAGCGAGCUGCAUUACAGGCACUGAAGAGAAAGAAAAGGUUUGAGAAGCAACUCACUCAGAUUGAUGGCACACUUUCCACCAUUGAGUUCCAGAGAGAAGCCCUAGAAAACUCACACACUAACACCGAGGUAUUAAAGAACAUGGGCUUUGCAGCAAAGGCAAUGAGAACAGUUCAUGAAAGCAUGGAUCUGAACAAAAUAGACGAUCUGAUGCAAGAGAUCACAGAGCAACAGGAUAUCGCCCAAGAAAUCUCAGAAGCAUUUUCUCAACGGAUUGGACUUGGUAAUGACUUUGAUGAGGAUGAGUUGAUGGCAGAACUCGAAGAACUGGAGCAGGAGGAAUUAAAUAAGAAGAUGACAAAUAUUCGGCUUCCAAAUGUGCCUUCUUCAUCUCUCCCAGCACAGCCAGAGAGAAGGCUGAGGAGGCCCUCUCCUGCACACCGAUCCCGAGCAGCAUCUUCCAGGAGGGCAGAAGAAGAGGAUGAUGAUUUCAAACAAUUGGCAGCUUGGGCUACUUAAACUAUAAUGGAAUUUUUUGGCACCUAAAUUAAUGGGCUAUAUGUGGAAAUUACAUUUUCUGAAAUGAAAAAUACAGAACACAAUGGAUAUCAUUAACAGCAGAUUAGACACUCCCGAAGAUGAACAAACUUGAAGACAUAGCAACAGAAAUUGUCUGAAAUAAAACGUACAGAGAAAAAUAAAGACUGGACCAAAAGACGAGAAAGAGGCAGAGCAGGAGUGAGCCGUGAGACCAUAUUAAGCAGCCUAACAUAUCCUGUGAAAAGGAGGCAAAAACCUUCUCUAGAACCCGUUAUAUCCACGUUAAACUCAUAAUGUUACUUGGACUACUGUAUUUCUCUUCUGAAUGCUGGAGAUCUAUCCUGCGCUGAAUUUGGAAGAAAUCUCUGCAGAUUGAUAAACGAGGGAAAAGUUCUUCUUCUUGUUGGUUUGGCAAGUGGAAACGGCUCCUAAGUCAAGACUGAUUUGGUAAUAGAUGUCCUGAUCCACCCGUGGUGUGCAUCCCUGUACCUGUUAGUUCCUUGUCAUUUACCUGAGGCUACAACCCGCCCAUGGGGCAGCAAAUGGAUUGGCUCAGUCAACUCCCUCCCAAGUUCUAGCUCAAAGAAAAUGAAAAGCAUUCAGCUCAUUUGCAGCUGCUAACCCUGAAAAGCAAGAGCCACGAUCCUUCUUUAGGAACCUGUACUGGAAAUGAAUGUGGAUUCUGGGGCCAGCAGUGGAGAGUUGAGAGGAUAGAGACCUUUUUUGAGGGGUAUAAUUUCUUCAAAAGAGGAUGUAAGAUUUUGUCUUUCCUUAUAUUCUUCCUAUGUCUGAUGGUGUUUUCAUGCUAAAUAGAUAUUUUAUUCUGCAGAUUCAUCUUUUAACUCCCAGUUUUACCCCUCCUUUUUCAGGGUCUGUGGCACAGUCAUAACACUUAAGGAGAUAGAGUUUAUUCCAGUGGGAUCAGGGUGAGUCUUCAUUCAGAUGUUGUGGGGCCAGUGAGUGCAUGAAAGACAUUGGAUGGGUAGCAGUUCUCACUGCAGGGAGGUGGGUAUGAUGCCUGCACUUACCUCAGGAUGGAUGGAGGUUGUUAAGCCUUGGCUGAUGGCAUUAAAAUGCACCUCACAGCCCUUCUUUAGCAAUCUCUUUCAUCAGCCUGAACCUGAGAGGUAGAACUGAAACCUGGACUCAAGGACAAGAUUGAGAACUUUCCCUCCACUGGCUCUGGUAAAAGUAUAAUUCACAGAUAAUGGUUAUGACCUGUCAUCCCUGAAAUCUUUACAGAUUUAACCAAAUGCAGGAAACAUUUGUAUGAAAUAAAGUAGUAUUAGGCUGGGAGCCAAAGAACCUUGUUUUUCAUAAUGCUCUAUCAUUCACUCCCUGUGUUCAUGUGACCUUUGUGUUUUGUGAUUUCAUCUAUAAGAUGAAGGCCGUGGAACAGAAGACUUGGCAAGAUCCUGAGGCAUAAAUGUUCUAGGGUUUGA